AAGUUUCCAACGUCUAGCACACAUCGUUUACGGCAUGGACUACGAGGGUAUCUAAUCCUCUUCGCUACCCAUGCUUUCGUUCCUCAGUGUCAGUAAUGAUCCAGAAAGUUGCCUUCGCUUUUGAUGUUCUUUCUAAUAUCUACGAAUUUCACCUCUACACUAGAAAUUCCACUUUCCUCUAUCAUACUCUAGCUAAAAAGUUUUGAUGGCAGUUCCAAGGUUGAGCCUUGGGAUUUCACCAUCAACUUUUUUAACCACCUACGAACUCUUUAAGCCCAGUAAUUCCGAACUACGCUAGGUCCCUUCGUAUUACCGCGGCUGCUGGCACGAAGUUAGCCGGACCUUCUUAUUCGGGUACAGUCAUUUUCUUCCCCGACGAAAGAGUUUUACAACCCAAAGGCCUUCUUCACUCACGCGGCAUCGCUGCAUCAGGGUUUCCCCCAUUGUGCAAGAUUCCCCACUGCUGCCUCCCGUAGGAGUUUGGGCCGUGUCUCAGUCCCAAUGUGGCUGGUCUUCCUCUAAGAACAGCUAUUGAUCGUUGCCUUGGUAAGCUAUUACCUUACCAACUAGCU
rnacentral:rRNA from 1 species